UGUUGUUUCGUCUCUCUCUCUCUCUCUCUCUCUCUCUCUCUCUCUCUCUCUUUCUUCUUUCUUAGUUGUAUGAGUUUACUUCCCAUAAUUCUGUCUCCGUUGUUUUCGUUUCUGUUUGUUUGCUUUUUGGUGUUAAGUGUAGAAAGAGUGAAGAAGAAGAAGGAGAAGGUAAAGGUGGUUGGCCAACUUCUAAGAGAGAAGGCAUGGAGGGGUUGGGUGGGCGGGUGGGUGGGCGGAGAUGGGACAGAUAAGAAGUCGCUAUACAUGAUGAGAGAGAGAGAGAGAGAGCGAGAGAGAGUAAUGGUCAAAUGAAUGGUAAGAGUGACAUCGCAAUCUGGUGGAGUUCACAAGCAGAGACAGAUCACAUCAGAGAUAUCAGAAAACAGCAGCAGAUCAGAGUUCUUAAGCUGCUUGAUUUGCUUCUUCAGCGUCUGUAAUCUGCGCGAGGAGAAGGGAGUGCCAUAGACCAUAACAGAAAGAGUUCUUAAGCUGCUUGAUUUGCUUCCUCAGAGCCUGCAAUCUUGUGUUAGAAGAAGGAAGUGACAGAUACCAGAGAGAAGCAGCAGCAGUUGCAGUCGCACUGUAGUUUUAAGCUUCUCUAUAGCCUGUAAAUAUGUGCCAAAAGAAGGGAGUGAUGCAUCGAUGGGUAUGAGUUCCAUUAACAAAAACUUAAUCUAUCAAGUUAUGGAUUGAAUUUAAUGUAUAUCAUUCAAUCCUUGAACACCUUUAAUCUUCAUCUGCAUACCAAUACUGUCCUGUUUCCAACAUCUUAUACAUGCAUGG
rnacentral:lncRNA from 1 species